AGGUAUUUUAAUUUAUUUACAAAUUAAUAGGAAUAAAUUAUUGUCAGUAUGAAUUUGUUAGGAAUUUUCGGAGUUUUAAAAGAAUAACCUAGUCUUCACUUGACCUAGGGUGACUAUCUUUUGAAAGGAGUAUAAAAAGAAAAGGAAGGGAAUUUCAGAAAACCCUAAAAACCUCUUCUCUCCCUCUCCUCAGCCGACUUCCUUUGCCUCUCUCUCUCUCUUUCGAAUUUUCUUUUCUCUCUUUCAGAUUUCUCUCUUUCUCUCUCGGAUUCUCUCUCAAACCCUCGCUGAAGUUCCUCUCGCCUCCUCCUUCUAGUCGCCUGCGGUUGUGCGAACUCAGGCGAGGGUGUGGUGCGAAGGGGGUCGAAGGUUUUGUGCGGUUCGAGAGUUUGGUGCGAGCGACGAGGUGGUUCGAGCGCGCGAAGGGACGGGGUCGUGCGAGUGUAGCCGCGCGACAAGGCUGGGCGGUGUUCGAGAGGCUGCGAGAAAUCGUCGCAGGUUGGUUCGUGGGUUGUGCGAGUUCCGUCGCACGAGGGUGUCCGAAAUUUGCUCGUGGUUUGUGCGAGUUCUGUCGCACGAGGGUGUUCGGUUGUUGCGCGCGGAUUGUGCGAACCAGCAAGGCUGGUGUGGGUGUCCGUGGGCGACGAGCGAAACCGGGCGAGGCUACUGUGCACUCGUGUGGCGUGGUGCUUCGGUCACCGGAGUUCUUUCGCCGGCGAAUUUAGCGGUCCCAAUUUCAUAAGCGGCUCGUUCUAUUAAGUCAGCGAAAAUUCUCCGCUACAAGACUAGGUGAGCUGGUGCUGCUGCAUGACAUCAAGCAUAUGGGGGCUAGACUGUAGUUUGAAGUUAACUUUUGGUUUGAUAUUAAUGAAUUUUAUAGAACAUUGUUACAUGGUUUGAGUUUGAAUAAAGAGGGGUCAUCUAUGAUUCCCGAGUUGUAAUUACAUUUUCUAUUCCGCUGCAUUUGGUUUGAGACAAUGAAUUUGAGUUACCGUAUUUCUAAUUAUGCCUUGCGUUCCAUCGCGGCGGUAACACUCCCGAAGUCGAUGCGACGUAGCUUUAGACGUGUAUGGAUUUUGGGGGUGUUACAUUGAGGUCCUUAUAAUUUUGAGGCUCUGUGCUGUAUGGCUCUUUGCACACCCUCAUCUACCCCUCUGUAAAGGGAAGCGGAAGAAAAUGGUAUCCCCAUUUUAAAAAUGGUAAAUUAUCCUUAAUGAUCUAAUAGAUGGAAAAAAGUUAUAAAAUAAAAUUUAAGAACAACUUGUCAUUCUAAACAAGUUAAAAAUGGUAUAUGCAUUAAAUAUUCCAAUCAAAAAAAAAAAAUGGGCAAUAUAUUUUGACAUGUACUUGGCAUUCUAAACAAUUUAAAAAUCCUCUAUGCAUCAGAUAUUUAAAUAAAAAAAUAGAUGGAUAAAAUAUUUUGAUACUUUUUUUAAUAAGAGAAAUAUGACAUACAUGACGUGCACAUAAAAAGUAUGAAACACUCACUACUUUUGAUACUUUUUCAUUCAGUCAAACUAACUCAUUAUGUUUAUUAUUUUUGUACAAAAUUCAGUCACAAAAAAUUAAUACU